rnacentral:lncRNA from 1 species
CUACCAUGCACUCGUAGGCUGGAUUUCUGUUGGCUUGAGAAGGAGAAGUAUCACCGAAAUGGGAUUCUUUGAAACCUGUUGUUUACUGCUUCUGGGUUGAGCAGCGACUGGUGUUCAAAUUACCACCAGCUGCUUGCUUUGGGUUUGCAAGCAACAUCUCUUACAGCUUGUUCAAGCUUCGUUAAGGUGGGGCACAGGUCAACCAUGUGUUGUAAGUAAACUCAGCAGCAGUCUAUCCAAAACCAACACUGUAAAUAUAGACUGCAAUGAGCACAUCUAGCACUGUGCACUCAUACAGUGCUCGGCAAAAAGACAUUUCUUCUUGAAGCAAAAAGACAAAGCACAAAGACCAAGAAAUAGUGGCAUAGUGAUUUACCGCAGGCAUACUUCUGUUGACAACAGUUUGCUCGUACUUUUUACCUUUUGAUGCUGUGUUAGAAUAGUUGUGUGCUACCCUGACAACUCUUCCUUCAUGUGAGAUUUUAUCAAAGCUCAUUACAAGAACAAGGCAGAUUAAACAAUGUGCUGAGCUUUAUUAACAACAUCUGUCUUGGGAGAGAUUUUGUGUCUUUUAAGGGUGAGAUGCUCUGUCAUCACAAGUGGCUCCCGUUCUUCCACGGCUUCCAGAAGGCGCCUUUCCUCGUAUUCAUCCAGAGGCAGCUUGGACGAGCGGGCUGAGGCUGUUAGAGGGAAUGUACAAAGAGGCAAGUGAAGAAAGCUGCCGAUACUCAGAUCUUCAAAGCUGUGCACGUGGGCGUACCUGCACACCAUCAGGUUUCCCAUCUCUGAAGGUAAAUGUGACUUUGGAUGAAGAAGACAAUUAAGGCAUGUUGAUUACAAAGGAAAAUGUUUGCUUUUGUUUGUUAAGCUUAAAGACCGCACUUGGAACAGCUUGAAAAGAAUUGGUACUCCUUGUGUGUUUGUGCGUCCUUUUGUUGUGUUGUUUAACUGAAAUACUAUUAAGUUUAUUUAUGGGCACCUGAAAUUUGGAAAUAUUUCUGAGUCUAAGUUAUUUGGAGUGUGUAUCAGAAACAAUCUCUUAGAACUUAUUGUGCAAUGAAAACAGCUGAAUAAUGUCUGGGAUUGACUCAGGG